rnacentral:rRNA from 1 species
UACGUAGGGCGCAAGCGUUGCUCGGAAUCACUGGGCGUAAAGGGUGCGUAGGCGGGUCUUUAAGUCAGGGGUGAAAUCCUGGAGCUCAACUCCAGAACUGCCUUUGAUACUGAGGAUCUUGAGUUCGGGAGAGGUGAGUGGAACUGCGAGUGUAGAGGUGAAAUUCGUAGAUAUUCGCAAGAACACCAGUGGCGAAGGCGGCUCACUGGCCCGAUACUGACGCUGAGGCACGAAAGCGUGGGGAGCAAACAGG